UACGGAGGAUGCGAGCGUUAUCCGGAUUUAUUAGGUUUAAAGGGUGUGUAGGCGGACUAUUAAGUCAGUGGUGAAAUCUCAGAGCUUAACUCUGAAACUGCCAUUGAUACUGAUAAUCUUGAGUACAGUUGAAGUAGGCGGAAUGUGUAAUGUAGCGGUGAAAUGCUUAGAUAUUACACAGAACACCGAUUGCGAAGGCAGCUUACUAAGCUGUUACUGACGCUGAUGCACGAAAGCGUGGGGAGCGAACAGG
rnacentral:rRNA from 1 species